AUUAGGAAUCUUGCACAAUGGGCGAAAGCCUGAUGCAGCGACGCCGCGUGACUGAUGAAGUCUUUCGGGAUGUAAAGGUCUUUUUUGGGGGAAGAAGGAUGUGACGGUACCCCAAGAAUAAGCCCCGGCUAACUACGUGCCAGCAGCCGCGGUAAUACGUAGGGGGCGAGCGUUGUCCGAAUUUACUGGGCGUAAAGCGCGCGUAGGCGGGCUAUUAAGUUGUGGGUGAAAUCCCGGGGCUCAACUCCGGAACUGCCUGCAAAACUGGUAGCCUUGAGGUAUGGAGAGGGAAGUGGAAUUCCUGGUGUAGCGGUGAAAUGCGUAGAUAUCAGGAGGAACACCCAUGGCGAAGGCAGCUUCCUGGCCAUAUCCUGACGCUGAGGUGCGAAAGCUAGGGGAGCGAACGGGAUUAGAAACCCUUGUAGUCC
rnacentral:rRNA from 1 species